GAUCGGUUAGCUCAGUUGGUUAGAGUGUGGCCCUAAUGGGGCUAGAUCUGAACCCGUUCAUACGCUAAGGUCAAGGGUUUGACCCCCUUACGGAUCA